AUUGAACGCUGGCGGCAGGCCUAACACAUGCAAGUCGAGCGGAUGAAGGGAGCUUGCUCCUGGAUUCAGCGGCGGACGGGUGAGUAAUGCCUAGGAAUCUGCCUGGUAGUGGGGGAUAACGUCCGGAAACGGGCGCUAAUACCGCAUACGUCCUGAGGGAGAAAGUGGGGGAUCUUCGGACCUCACGCUAUCAGAUGAGCCUAGGUCGGAUUAGCUAGUUGGUGGGGUAAAGGCCUACCAAGGUGACGAUCCGUAACUGGUCUGAGAGGAUGAUCAGUCACACUGGAACUGAGACAUGGUCCAGACUCCUACGGGAGGCAGCAGUGGGGAAUAUUGGACAAUGGGCGAAAGCCUGAUCCAGCCAUGCCGCGUGUGUGAAGAAGGUCUUCGGAUUGUAAAGCACUUUAAGUUGGGAGGAAGGGCAGUAAGUUAAUACCUUGCUGUUUUGACGUUACCAACAGAAUAAGCACCGGCUAACUUCGUG
rnacentral:rRNA from 1 species